rnacentral:rRNA from 1 species
AGAUUGAACGCUGGCGGCAUGCCUUACACAUGCAAGUCGAACGGCAGCAUGAUCUAGCUUGCUAGAUUGAUGGCGAGUGGCGAACGGGUGAGUAAUACAUCGGAACGUGCCCNGUAGUGGGGGAUAACUAGUNGAAAGAUUNGCUAAUACCGCAUACGNCCUGAGGGNGAAAGNNGGGGACCGNAAGGCCUCAUGCUAUAGGAGNGGCCGAUGUCNGAUUAGCUAGUUGGUGNGGUAAAGGCUCACCAAGGCGACGAUCAGUAGCUGGUCUGAGAGGACGNUCAGNCACACUGGGACUGAGAC